UGAUGUGGAAUGAACACAGCCAAAAAAGGGACAUUCUAGUAGUCUAGCAACUUUUCAAGACAUAUUCUUGAGCUAAUGACACAAUCAUAACAGAACUCCCAAAUAGUAUAAGCAAAAGAGAAAGGGAGAUGCAAACAAUAACAAAACAGAAAGUUCAGCAUAUUUGCAACUAAGCAGCCAUAAGAGAUCAUAAUACAAUACAAAUUAGAUACAAAACUGAAACAUACAAUAAAGAGAUCAUAGUAAAAAUUAGAACAGAGACUUACAUAUCCGUUUAGAUCCAAAAUUGCUAGUUGAGUUGAAAAACUAAGCAUUAUUCCUCACAUAUGGUGUAGUAGACUUGUUGAUUGAUGGACACUUGUUACGAUAAUGGCCAGGAUUACCGCAACCACUACAUUUCCGAGGUGUCUUAUCCACUACCUCAAAGUAUGAGGGUUCCCUCUUUGUAGAACAAGUUUCCUUUCUAUUAGUUGAUUCUACCGGACGACCUUUAUGAGGCUGAAUAAUAGGUUCAAAAAGCAAGGGGCAAGAUGCACCAAGAAUAUGAGAAAGCUGCCUUAUGGUAUUCUCUUUUUGCAUUAGCGGCUGCUUUUCAUAUUUCUCUUUAAUCUCAGACAAGAGACUAGUGAAAGGAUCUUCAUGAUCCAAGCUUGCAUGUUGAUCAUUAGUGAAAGAUCUUGUGUCAAUCCUCCACUGCAUAUGAAUCUGAUUUAGAGAACACACUUCAAUAUUCAUCUCCUUGAUCAUGUGCACACAAGGAAGAACCAUGGUUUUGAAAAAUUGGCCUUUCCAUUGAGAUGAAUAGUCUUUGGUAUUUGCCAGCAAAUAUUGUUUUAGUAGCUCAUACAAAGCAUGGAAUGAUACCUUAUUCAUUGUCUCUUUAAAGAAGAGGAUGCAAAGCUUUUGAGGAACACGAAUCUUUUCACUUGCAAAUUGAGUUUUAAUUUCUGGAAAUUGGUUUUCAAUAGCAAGACAAAUAUUUUCCUUCACUUCACGAAGACCACCCGUUGAAACUUGAAGAUAUCUCUUUAAGGUUGCAUGUGCACCUUCUGCCCUAGAAGUAACACUAUUACCAAAAUAGGAAAUCUGCCCUGUCCAUGCAACUAUAAACUUUUCUUUCCAUGGAAGCCAAGUUUUUUCAAUAUAAGUCAGAACUUUAGCAUAAUCUUUGUAUUCAAUUUGAAAACGAUUCCAAGCUUCAUUAAACAAUGCCACAUUCCAAGAUUUCACUAAGGCAACUCAAGAAGACAUAAAAGUAACCCAAUCAGCUUCUUCCUUAAACUGACUUUUAUAAUGUGCAACAAUAUUUUUCUCAAUAUGCCAUAUGCACAAAAGGUUAGGAGUCAUCGGGAACACAACUUCUAUUGCUUUCAUUAGUGCCAACUCCCUAUCAGUAAUAAUGGCCAACAGAUGAUCACCAAAACCCAACAACUUACUAAACAUCUCAAGAGCCCACUCAUAAUCCUCUUGUUCCUCUUUUUGCAUGAAAACAAAGCAUGAAUAAAAUGAUUUGUUGAAGCUCGACACUCCUAUAAUCUCAAAUAAUGGCAUCUUAUAUUUAUUUGUUUUAUAAGUAUAAUCCAUCACAAAGACAUUAGAGUAGCUUUUAGUCAACUCAAUGGAAGUGGGAUGAGCAAAGAAUAGAUGAGUCAAAUGACCAUGGUGAUCAUACUUGACAUUAUGAUAAAAACCAGCCCCGCCAAGCUCAUCCAAUAAUGCUUGAAUAACUGAACGCCCACCUAGGUUCUCCCUCAUAAAUUGAGCUGUCAUGCCAUAUACAUUUCUGUGGAAACAGCUAGAAGACCAGGGUUAUUUUGUCGAAGUGAAGAGAGAAUUUGGCGUGGUUUAAUGCCAGCCCUAGUCAUUUGUUUAACUUGUAAGGCUUCCUCUUUAGAAAAUCGACGACAAUAUGGAUGCCCAGACAUGUCAGUAGAAGACUCAUGGUUAUGUAGCAAUGUAAUUAUCUCUACCUUCCACACCCCUUCUUUCUUUCUUCCUAGAAUUUUAAAAGGACAAUUAAUCAGACGAGAAGAUGAAUUUCUUUUCUUGUUCUCAACUGCAAUUCCAGUUCUAUAACAUCCCCCUCUAUCACAACCCAUAACAACAUAUCUAUUGGGUUUGGAUCUUUUGAUUACCAGAGCAUACCCUUGCACAACCCCAAGAUUACGAACAUCUCUAAUGAGGUCAUCUCGAUUUUCAUAACCUUUUGUUGAUAGUGAGAAAAAUUCAUCAGAAACAGCAAACAUUUCUUCAUUCCCUAAAUCAUAGAUAACCAGAUUUAUAAUUAGGCACUUUCUGACUAACUAAAUGCUUAAAAAUUAACCGUUAAAUCACGGUUGUUAACCUCUAAUCCUUGCAAACCAAAUUAAGCCACUACUUAUUUCUUCUUAUAAGUUAGAGAAAACUAAUAAUAACUAAAAGCUAGUUCUAAAUAUCACUACAUUGCAAAAAAAAAAAAAUAGCAAGACGAAAAACUUACCAACGACAGUGAGACCUUCUAUGAUAUUAGACGAAAGAUUAAGCUGCAACUCUUCUUCCAUUUCGAUGUUAUUAAACGAAUGAUUAAACUACAACUCUUCUUCCAUAUUGUCUG
rnacentral:lncRNA from 1 species